UUUUAUGAGAGUUUGAUCCUGGCUCAGGACGAACGCUGGCGGCGUGCCUAAUACAUGCAAGUCGAACGCUUCUUUUUCCACCGGAGCUUGCUCCACCGGAAAAAGAGGAGUGGCGAACGGGUGAGUAACACGUGGGUAACCUGCCCAUCAGAAGGGGAUAACACUUGGAAACAGGUGCUAAUACCGUAUAACAAUCAAAACCGCAUGGUUUUGAUUU
rnacentral:rRNA from 1 species